UUCUACAUUAUAAAUUUGUUUUGUUUUAAGGCCUCUUUUCGUUUUUAAUCUUCUUAGUUUGACUGGUUGUUCCUACACAAUUGCUUACUCUCAUUUAAAUUAUUUUAGUAAAAGGUGAAAUGUAUAUAUAUAUUUAUAUUUUCAGGCUGGAAUCAAAGAGCAUGUUUGUUAUUGGUUGUUGUCAAAGGAAGAGUCAGCCAAUUAAAACGAGGCGAAGAGCGGACGUCCACCUGUUGAGCGGCUUGUGAGUAAACUUAGUUUCUUUUCAGCCUUGAGUUUAACCGGUUCAAUUAAAGCUUUAAAUAUCAGAGGUUUAAAAAACAUUUUAACACAGUUAGGUAUUUCCACUUAGCUUAAUGUUUUGGUCGUCGUCAUUGCGGGGGUUUCAGGAGCCUUCUUCCAGUUCUCUCACAAGCACAGGGACAAGGGAGGCGAGGGCUGGAGAGCAGCCAAAAGAGGCCAGCCCGUCGUACAGCUGAAACUUUUACAAGCAGGAAGAGACACGCUGAACGAUCGCAGAAGAGAAAAGUCAGACUAAUAAGUCAGUCCUUUUUGCUUCUACUAUCCGCCUCUCCUCCGGUCAUCUGGAGGCUGCAACUUUGCUGAUUAAGAAGCAUCGCCGUUCAUCUUUGCUGCUAAAGCUCAAAGGUUGGCCUGGGAUGGAUGCCAAAAGCGGAAAAAAAAAAAAAAGUUAUGAUCUCUGAAAUACCCCGGUAGCUGAACUCCCUCCAACUCCUCCUACUCAGUGGAGCUGAUGUUAUCGUCCAACUGAAUGAGAGCCAGAGAACGUCAGGCGGAACAGAGAUGUCAGAGAAGACAGCCACUCUGAUGGGACGCUUUUAUUGGAGGGACCUCUUGGAUCUGAAAGCAGUUCCUGAUCUUGCGUGGUGAGAUAAAACAACAUGGCAGAAGAGCCAGGAACCUGCUUGUCUCUCCGCGGCUGUCUGUUGCUGCAGGGGUGGAGGACACGGCGAGAGGUGUGUUGAGGACGUUCUUCAUGCUCUCAGCUGCUGCUUCAUUGCUUGUGUCACCAAGUCUGUUUCGUGACAUUUUUCGCUUCCUCUCAUUUUUUUUUUGUCUGUCUGUGGCACUCUGUCUUUCUUAGCUCCUCCCACUUCUGUUCCUCCUCUCUACAGCGUGUUCCUCCCUUCCUGGUUGUGUGUCUCCCUCCUCCCUUCCCUUUUCUCCCCUUCCCUUCUUGGCAGCGGUGCCAAAGUGGGCUGGCAGAGCGAGGCAAGCAGAGCAGAGGGCGAUCUAAAGGCUGGCAAAUUGUUCACGUGUAGGUUGGAGCUGCCCUCUGUCUGUGUGUUUGCGGGUUUGACUCUGCCUGUGUCACAGGAAGCAGUGUGCGAUUUGGAGCUGUGCGUUUUCGUUUGUGUUGGACAUUAUGAGUGUGCUGCAUGUGAGCAGACGUCCCUCUGUCACCCUGUGGAUGGGCAGACGCUUUCACGCCUGUAGGAGGGGAUUGUGGGAAGGGGGUGUAGCUCUCAGAGGGUGUGCUCUACUCCUCUCGUUUCCCUUCUUCCCGCCACCACGGCCCUCUUCUCCUUCAGUUCUCCAGCCCAGCCCGCCGCACACGUACAGACUUCAGGUACUGCUCUCUUUUUCGUCCUCUUCCCAUCAUCUGAUCUUUCUCCUGUUGUUCCUCUUGCUCCCAAUCUCUGUCCUUCAUCUUCCUCCGGGAAACGUGUGUGCCGCUGCUGGUUGCCACGCCACACUCGGCCCAUCGCCAUUUUGGUUUAAUGGACACACCAGGAGAAACUUUUCUAAAGCAGAGUUACUCUGCGGAUCAUCGGCAUCCUCCCGACUUUCUGUAUCUCCUCUUUCUUUACCCGUCUGGGGCAUCAAAUUCUGUUUGGGUGGAGGGUUGGACAACCUGUGUCUUCUUUUUUUGUUUUGUUUUUUGUACUGAACAGGUGUCUCUUCAAGACUGGCAUGGAGAAAAACAGACACUUUAAGUGACUUUCCGAUCCACAGAGUCGUCUUAGAUAAAGUGCUGUUGUUGUCAGAUCAGGUCAGUGAAAGUUUAGCCACAAACCAGCGAGCUGAAGAGUCCCACAAACAGGAGGACUGAUGCUAGUCACGUCUCUUUUAAUGCGACACGUCGAUUACAAUAAAAAGACGAUGUUCCAGCUAUUUUCAUUUUUGUUUGCAAGUCUCUGCAGAAACUUAGAUGAAAGGCAGUUGUUUGACAAGACAAACGUGUGUUAAGUUUUAUGUUUCUGCAUGUAGGGGUGUGGCACUUUGGUUUAAGGUGCUAAUGUCUGGAAUAUUAAGUCAUAAAGCAGUGAGUGAGGGACAGUGCACUUCGGACAAAACUUGGGCAUAAAACACGGCGAUUCUAAACUACAGAUUGUUAAAAAAAAAACAAGAACAAAAGCGCUCAUGUUUGCUGCAUUUUUAUAUAUAUACCGCUGACAGUAAAUUUGUAUUCUAACCAAUUUUAAAAGACUGUGAUAAAACAAGGACACGGUUCGUCUUCACCUGCAUUCCUGAUAAAAGCCGCUUUCUGCAGAAGAGUGAGCAGUCUCAGAAGAACCACACGAAAUUCCAAUGCUGUUUCAUUCCAUAUUUAGAAUUAUGUUAGGAUAACAUUGCUACUUUUAGGAGCUUGUUGUCUUAUUGUUUCUCAGUCUAAAUAAGGGUUGGUGUUAAGAUGGCGCCUACAUGCCACGUGUAAACACGAGCAGACCCUCUCUGCGUACCCCUUAAGAUUACUGGGCAUGCUGCUGCCAGUUCCUCUUUAUCUGCCUGUUGUUUCCGACUGCUCCGUUUGGACAUUUGGGGACUGUUCAAAAGCAUAAAAAUGUGCACCUUUACAAAAUAAACCCCCCUUAGUAAUGCUACAACAACGAUAGCAAUAAAAUGAUAAAGGAAGCAGGAGAAAAAUAGAGAGAACAAGAGUUACUGUCGAGGGAAAGAGAGAGGUAGGAGUGGGAGAGCUCUUUCCCCGCCCCUCUCUUAUCCUCAGAUGAACUUAUCGAGUUGCCUCAUAAUGCUUCUGCGCGUUUUUUUUUUCCCCUCCUCAAGGCAGUCAGGCUAACUUCCUGCAUUCGGCUUCGGCACAGAUGAUUGGUUGAUAUCUCGGCUGACCGUGUGCAGUUUGCAGCAAAGCAACAGGAAGUUUCUCUUCACACGCAGGAAGCUGCAGCUGUGUUAUCCUGAAGCACACUACACUGCUCUCUUUCUCUCACACAUACUGUAACACAAAACAGCAGUAUGUAUGCCUGCAUGCUGUAUGCAUGAAGCAUGUAGUGACAUAGAAACAUUUAAAUCCAUUGUAACUGCAUACCCUCUUACUUUUUUUAGCCUUUCCAUUAAAUAAAAUGCAAUAUAAUAUUUUUUAAAUAUGUAUAUUUUUAUUUCGAAUAUUACUUAAAAAUACAAUAAAUAACAGCUGGGCUGUUUUAAUGUACGUUAAUCAAUGCUCUAAAUCAGCCCAAAAGCAUGUGGCCUACAGGUGAAGGAUGUGCACUGUUGUGGUUGUGUAAGUGAUCACAUAUGGCGGCACUUCCAUGUGUACAUGUAAAACGUGACUGUAAGCUGCGUGUCGGUUUUGCCUUGUUAAUGAGAACAUCAGACCAUCAGAGCCGGCGCCAAGCCAAGAGGGCUGGGGAGGAUCGACACCCGUGUCCUUCAUCUCUUAAUGUAGGAGUAGGGCAUUUCUCAGGUGGGGGAGGGAGUGAAUUUAGAGGAUCAGAAAAAAAAAGAAGAAAGAAACUCGCAUGAAUACGACGAGACAUUUGUUUGGAUCUUUGUCAGUUUGAUAUUUCUUAAUUCUAUCAUCAAUUGUGUGGCAUACUUCCUCUUCCCCAUUGUUUUUCCCCCUCCUGUUUUUUUUUUCCCUUUACUACCUCCUUACUGCCUUAUUGAAAUUCUGCCUGGCACACAGACACUGGCCACUCCUGGCACAAAGCUGAGACAGAAGGAGAGAACACACAAAUGCACAAGAACCUGUACCAGUUUCCCUCCUUUGUGGCUCCUGUGCCAAGCAUUCAUCCUGUGUCGCUGACGAAGAGAACCCACUAGGUAUUUUCCUGCCUCUGCUUCCUACGAUAAUCCGUCCAAAUUUGAGGAGUUUUUUUUCUGGCAGCCAUGGAGAACGUGUGUAUGUUUUGGCUUUUGAUUUCUCUAAGAUAUAAAGGAGACGUCUAAUAGGUAUCACAAAAAAAUGCCAGUUUUUCAUCUUUAGUUUUCCUUUUUGUUAUAUACUUUUUUUUUGGCACCACAAAAAUGUUGGUUUUAAACUUGUAAAAAACAAUUAUAUUUUACUUUAAAUAUCUAUUUUAUUUGCCAUUUGAUUGGGAAACAUCAACCAGGAAUGUAUGCGAUGAGCUUUCCCUCGAAGUCAACAUUUAAGCAUCUUUUUUUUUUUUUUUUUUACUUUUAUCUACCUCAGAACAAAUAUGCAUUAUUAUUCUGUAUUUAUAUAAAUUUAACUACAGAAAAACAUACUUAGUUGGACUUAAUAUGGGAGUAGAGGCUCUGUUUUCCUUGGCCUUUGUAACUCAAAGUUGUCACCAACGUUUCCACAUAUUUCUGUUUUGACAGUGCGCAGAUGGUUUGAUGAUUGAAUGAGAUUUACUCAGCGGCUUGAAUUUCUUUCGUUUCUCUUUUUAGGGAUCCUCUUUGCCGUCCCUCAGGCUUGAAGAGCAUUUAUUUUGUAGCUGCUGACAAAGAAAACGACUUGGCCCAGCUGAGCCAUACACGCCCCUUUUAUGUGGUCUGGAAAAUGCCCCCAGUGUCAGGCAGCAGGGCUCAGCGGAGCUCACAUGACUGACAAAAAAAGCAUUAAAAAUAUUAAUUAACUUACAAGCAUUUCAUGUUUUUAGUCUUAUAUUUACCCGGUUCAUGUUUGCCCCUAAAUCUUCGUCAGUUUGACCCGUAUUCCUGCGAACUCACAUCGCAGCCAGUCGCUUGUCUCGCCUUCCAAACACAGUUCCAUUCAUGGGAUGUGUCUUGGCGACCAAACAGGGCUCAUAGAUCUGUCACUGGCACAGUGGUAUAGGUGGGCAUGGUGCCAGCACUCCCCCACCCCACUCUGUCUGUCUGGGUUUCUGUAAUCAGCCUAGUGAGGGUUACUGCAUGCUAACUACAACCCAGUCUCGGGGGUCAUGGCUGUAUACUAAUGUAUGCAAGUAGUGCACACUCUAGCCCAUUCUCUGUCCCUCUGUGGCCCAGGCCUGGCAUUCAGGCUGCUACUCAUUAACCUUUCAGUUGCUGCUGUGUUAACCUAUUGGCACAUUUCAGCCCUAAUCCCAUGUUUAGUUGUAAUUUAGCAGCUCAUGACAGGCAGAAAUGGCUGUAUGGAGAGUUAUGCAGAGAGAUAACAUCUGGAUUGUCAAGGAGAACUGUAUGCAGCCAUGUUUUCACUCGUACGAUUAAAAAAAAACAUUUGUUUUGCUCUGCUUCAGUACUCGUGAUCCACUAUGACAUCUGGGUAUAUUGACUUCGUCUCAGGCAUUGGCACAAGAUCGACUCUCCAUAACUCAUGAUGCAACAGCUGCUCUUUUUUUUCAUGAGGCAGCAGACUUGCAAGAAAAAAAAUACUAUGAAAAGGUGGACCUCUUGGAGUUUUUAAAUUGACCUGAAAUGGCGGACACGCAGGACGCCAUUUUGUGCUUCCCUGUUCUGUUUUGGGGGGCAGAAUCCCAGCUUUGUGUUCAAUCAGAGGCAGCUGGUGGAAGCCAUAUUUGCAGGGAUCUGUGUGUGUACCUCCGCCUGAGGAGCAGCAGCCAGCCUACACAGGGAUAACCCAUUGGAAUGAGCUCAGUUUUUGGCAAAAACGGAACAGGAUUCCUGGCACGCAGUCGAACAGCUCCCUUUUUUUUUUUUUACUUUCGACCACAUGCCAGAAUCUCAGGAAGCCAGUGAGUUGUUUGUUGGGCUUUCACACAUUUGUACUCCCACUUUCUGAUGUCGGCUUACCGUUAAAAUAUUUGGCUGCGAUUUGUCCUGACGGAAGCCACUUCCAAAAGCUGGGCAGAUCAGCGAAAACAUGCAAAUUAGCGAGGGUCGUUCAUGAUGAGUGUUUGUCUAAAUCUUGGCAGCUGAAGACUUGUUGUCAAGACACACAAACGCUUUUAGGCAGAAGUAAUGUUUUUUUUUUACACUUCAGAGGUAAUACAUAGAGAUAAAACACAAACCUGUUUUUGCAAAGAAUAAACUAAAAUACCUCAUUCAGGUAAUUUUUUUUAUGUCAGUAUAAAUUUUGAAGAAGCUAAACACAUUUUUUCUCUUUUUUUCUCUGUUAUCACUACAGGAGAGAUCCUAUUGUGGAUGCUUGAUGCUGAAGCAGCAUGGAUGCUGUCCUUGGGGCUGAGGUAGUAGAUUGAAUAGUUGUGGGGUUUUCCGACCUCUUUCUUCAACUAACUAUCCAAUCUACUGUCUUUCCCAAGGAGGCAGCUGAGUCAGCCUCUCGGACGAUCAUCAUCUCAAGAGUGCCAAUCAUGCAGCUCAAUCUAAAAAACACACAUGCAACAGUUAGCAGAAAGAAUUGUUUGAAUAUGCUUUUUUUCUUUUCUUUAUCACAUUUCUCCUGCUGGCUUGGAUUCCUGUUGGACUCUGUCAGGGUGAGGUAGUAGGUUGUAUAGUUUGGUGGGUGGGACUCCGCCCUUCUCAGGUGAUAACUAUACAGUCUAUUGCCUUCCCUGAGGAGCUCGCUAUUCACGCAUGGAUUUUUGUCCUAACAUCUCAGCACAUUAUGGACUGCAAAUGUUUGAAUUAAAGGAUGGACUUUAAAUAAUAUUAAAUAAAUGAUCACUUGCCCCAAACUAAUUGUCCAAAACUUUGUAAACAGCAUGUUGAUCUACUGUCACACACUGAAAUUCUGAUUUAUGCUGAACUCAACUGUUGUUUUUCUUAGUAUUUAGCUCCAUCUAGUGGCAUGUAAAGAAACUGCUUCAACUUCACAAAAGUUUCGGAAAAUAAAAUGUUGCAAACCGGAGAGUUUGGGUUAUAUAAGUCAAAUCUCUGUUGGGUUCCAGUGUUGUUUCUUAGCUGCAAUAAAAUCUGAAAUGUUUUUUGAAA